rnacentral:sRNA from 1 species
UCCAUUCUACUGCUACUGUUGGUGAAUGCCCACCUUCUUUCAUUAGGUUUUGAAACAGGAUAACACAAACAAAAUUGUUUCGGAUGUGAGGGGCUGCGUAGUUCAAUAUCUCCACGUCGUCUUUUGCUCGCUCUCCGUACGUCCGGUUCUGCGUUCUCACUCUUCAAUUUUCUACUCCGUGUACGGGAGAGACUUGCAAAGGGUUCUCUGAUGCCAAAGUUAGUGAGAGCAGUAACUAUUUUGUUGAACAGUAAUAAAUGUGUAGUAAAUGCAACCUAUCUACCACUCAUCUUGGAUCUGUAUUUAUAGUUUUCGCUAUGGGCU